AUGUCUAUUGGAGGGUCUAGUGAGUAUCAGCCCCGGGGUCAUCUCAUCGCCAAGGACAGCCUGAGCUACAUCAUUAAAACUGUUCCUCCAGCCGGGGUUUUUAUUCCUCGGAGACACAUUGAUGAAUGUUACUGCAAAUUCAGAAAUCAGGUGCACAUAAAAUUUAAGGUCAGGAUAUUAAAGGAAUCACAGCCAGUGUUGUUAAGCCUUCAUUUUUUCUAUCUUUUUGUCUGUUCAGACAAGAUAACUUUUCUACCCAUAUUUUCCAUUCUAGUAGUGGUUACGUUUGUUCUUGGAAAUUUUGCUAAUGACUUCAUAGCAUUGGUAAAUUCCAUUGAAUGGGUCAACAGACAAAAGAUCUCCUCUGCUGACCAAAUUCUCACUGCUCUGGCAGUCUCCAGAGUUGGUUUGCUCUGGGUAAUAUUAUUACUUUGGUAUGCAACUGUUCUGAAUCCAGAUUCAUACAGUUUAGCAGUAAGAAUUACUACUACUAAUGCCUGGGCAGUAACCAACCAUUUCAGCAUCUGGGUUGCUACUAGCCUCGGCAUAUUUUAUUUGCUCAAGAUUGCCAAUUUCUCCAACUUUAUUUUUCUUCACCUGAAAAGGAGGAUUAAGAGUAUCAUUCCAGUGAUACUACUCGGGUCUUUGUUAUUUUUGGCUUGUCAUCUUGUUGUGGUAAACAUGGAUGGGAGUAUGUGGACAAAAGAACAUGAUGGCAAUAUUGAGUUGGGAGAUCAAAUUGAGUGAUCCAAUGCACCUUUCAGAUAUGACUGUAACCACGCUUGCAAACUUAAUAACCUUUAUUCUGUCCCUGAUAUCUUUUCUGUUGUUAAUUUGUUCUUCGAGUAAACAUCUCAAGAAGAUGCAGCUCCAUGGCAGAGGAUCUCCAGAUCCCAACACCAAGGUCCACAUAAAAGCUUUGCAAACUGUGAUCUCCUUCCUCUUGUUACUUGCUAUUUACAUCAAUUUGGAAUCUUAGGAGGAGGCUGCAGAAAGAACCUGUCCUCCUGCUCUGCCAAACUACUGCAAUUAUAUAUCCUUCAUUUCAUUCAUCCUAAUUCGGGGAAGCAAGAAGCUAAAACAGACCUUUCUUUUGAUUUUGUGUCAGAGUAGGUGCUGAGUAAAAGACCUGAAACUCUCAAAUUUCUAGAUUCACAAGUGGGACAUCGUGUGUCUCGAAGAGAAAACAAACUGAUGCUGUCUGGAGCAUUUUAUACUUUCUACUGGUUUUUCUGUAUUGUAUGUUUUUGAGUAAUUUCCAAAAGUAUAUCUAGAAAAGUCUUUUACCUAAAGUUAGUCUAAAAAGUAUCUAUAUAUGCAUGUGUGUGUGUAUAUGAAACACUGAAGAGAGAGUGACAAUAACAUAAUCUUAAUCAUUUUUUACAAACUGCCAAAUUAUAGAAAAUAUAAGAAAUUUUUCAGAAUCAUGAAGCCAUGUGUAUUUCACAUAUACAUUUCAUAUUAUCAUAUUUCAUUUGAAAAAUUUAUAAUCUCUACUUUUAGUUGUUAAGAACUUGCAGCUUAUUUCACAAAAUCAUUUCUCUUUUCCACUGUUAUUUGUACCAUACAUAGGUACCAUAGUGUGCUUAAACAUGAUUAUUUUAACUUCUAGUUUUUUGAAUGGUAUGAGCAUUCUAUCCUAAAUCAAUAAUGAGGUUUUAUCCUUGGGGUAGUUUUUAUUUCAUAAUGAAUUCUAAUUUUAUGUUCAGUUUAAAGCAAACAAUUAUUGUUAGAACACUGUGCACAAAAUAAAAUUCAAGGAUGA